AGGAUUGUCAGAUAUCAAAGGGCUGUCUGUAGCAAGUAAUCCGGAGUCACCAAUUGUCUUCCUAAAACUGGAGAAGUCAACUGGCUCAGUAAAAGAAGACUUCCGUCUCCUUGACGAUAUAGCUGAUCAUGCUUUGAGAGAAGACUGUGUAUUUGUAGUGACGUCAAAACGGUCAACACUUGAUAAAUGCCGGCUGCCAGUAGGCAUCAGAUUGUUUGUUUCUGCUGGACAUUCAGAAGCGGAUCUGGUCAAGGCAUGUGAAUCAUUGCAGAGAGUUGCAGCACUGGUUCUCAGGGAUGUUCACUAGUUACUUGCCAUACAUCAGUUCUCUUGAAGGCCAAGAACCAUGGUUAUGGUUUCAAAUUGUACACGACUGUUGAAAAUUUUUCUGGUGCAAGCCUGCUGAGAAGAGAACCAGGCUUGUAGAUGUUUAUAUUUUCUCUAUUAUUUAUUUGUGAUCAUUUAGAACUGCAAUUUUUUUUUGAAGAAAAAAUAUUUGUUGCUAGAAGGGAACUGUAUUGAGAUUUAAUCUGUAGCUGAAUGUAUUGGUAUAUCCUGAUAUGAAGAUCAAGAACUAUUUUGAUUUUGUGUUAAAUGGCGAAAUGAAAUCAGGUUAGGAGGUGGAA